GCAUUCCUUCACCCCAGCUCUUAAAAACUCCUGCCCUUUGUUUCAGUGGAGCUGGUAUUCAGAAUUGGUCUUGCUGUCUCUCCUAUUGCUGGAAACAAUCAGCUUCUGUCUUCAUCUUCUUCAGUUCAAUUUUCUUCUUUAGCAGGUAUUAUCUUCUGUUUCUGUUGCAUCUGUUCUGGUUGUCUCUGAUCCACCAUGACCUCCAGUUGACUGAUCCAUAGUCUACAUAUCAUUCUUCCAAUGGACCAUGAAAUUGAAUUGGGACCUGUGCUGUAAGAAAUCGCCCAGAAAGUCACAGGAGACUGGCACACACCCUCUAAUGAGAAAACAUUUCACAAGCAACAAAAACCACAGUCAAAAAUAAUCAGA